UACGUAGGGGGCUAGCGUUGUCCGAAAUCAUUGGGCGUAAAGAGCGUGUAGGCGGCCAGAAAAGUCCGCUGUGAAAACUCGAGGCUCAACUUCGAGCUGUCGGUGGAAACUUUCUGGCUAGAGUCCGGAAGAGGAGAAUGGAAUUCCUGGUGUAGCGGUGAAAUGCGCAGAUAUCAGGAGGAACACCGGUGGCGAAGGCGGAUCUCUGGGCCUUACCUGACGCUCAGGUGCGAAAGCUAGGGGAGCGAACAGG
rnacentral:rRNA from 1 species